rnacentral:rRNA from 1 species
CGGGUUUUACCAGAAGUAGGUAGCUUAACCGCUAAGGGGGCGCUUACCACGGUAGGAUUCGUGACUAGGGGUGAAAGUCGUAAACAAGGUACC